rnacentral:tRNA from 3 species
GCCCCCGUAGCUCAGUGGAUAGAGCAGAGGUUUCCUAAACCUUGUGCGGGUGUUCAAUUCACCCCGGGGGUACCA